rnacentral:tRNA from 1 species
GGUAGCAUGGCCGAGCGGUCUAAGGCGCUGGUUUAAGGCACCAGUCAUUUCGAUGGCGUGGGUUCG